rnacentral:lncRNA from 1 species
GUGCAACACUGAGCAAGAAUCACUGGUGAUGUCAACCCUCUGUCAUCUGAGCUGCAUCUCAUGUGAGGGACAGAGCCUUCCCAAACCCAGAAGCUGGUGGCAUCAAGCUCAUGGGAUGCUUAAGUCUAUACCACGAAUUUCCUUAUCAGCAAGCUGGAAAAACUCAAAGCUACUGCGUGCUCAGUGCAUGGGGAGAGCAGCAAUCCACAAAGAUGGACUAAUUCCAGAGGAAGUCAAGCAAAGACUGUGUCACAACUAUUAA